rnacentral:rRNA from 1 species
GAUGAACGCUAGCGGCAGGCUUAACACAUGCAAGUCGAGGGGUAUUGGUUUUCGGACCAAGAGACCGGCGCACGGGUGCGUAACGCGUAUGCAAUCUACCUUUUGCAGAGGGAUAGCCCAGAGAAAUUUGGAUUAAUACCUCAUAGUAUAGUACCUUGGCAUCAAGGAACUAUUAAAGUCACAACGGCAAAAGAUGAGCAUGCGUCCCAUUAGCUAGUUGGUAAGGUAACGGCUUACCAAGGCGACGAUGGGUAGGGGUCCUGAGAGGGAGAUCCCCCACACUGGUACUGAGACACGGACCAGACUCCUACGGGAGGCAGCAGUGAGGAAUAUUGGACAAUGGGCGCAAGCCUGAUCCAGCCAUGCCGCGUGCAGGAUGACGGUCCUAUGGAUUGUAAACUGCUUUUAUACAGGAAGAAACACUGGUUCGUGAACCAGCUUGACGGUACUGUAAGAAUAAGGAUCGGCUAACUCCGUGCCAGCAGCCGCGGUAAA